rnacentral:tRNA from 1 species
CGGGCAGUAGCUUAGUGGUAGAGCUCUCAUUUCCUAUGCGGGAACAUCUGGGUUCGACUCCCGGCUGCUUAC